CUGACUGCCACUAAGGAAAGAUUUCUCUCUGGAGAUUGCUCCUCUUGGACCUUUUUCUGUGAGCCUAGGACCCAGGUUGCACUUACUGUCAGUAGCAGACUUAAGCUUUUUUUUAAACGCUGAAUCCCAAGUGCAGCGGAAGUCAAGGCUGUGAGGUUAGGAUAACUGGCUAACCGUUACCUCUGAGGAUCAGCAAGAGGCUGCUGGGUUUCCUGCAUGGAAACUCUACAGAAAAAAUAACAUGGAUUUGGGCCUGAUGAAAGAAGAAAAAGACCAGAUUUCUAGAACAAUACGAAAGAGCAAUGGAAUAGUAGUAAGUUUCCAGAGGGCAUUUAUUUGAAAACAGCUGGCCCAGAAUUGAGUAAAAUGAAGGUCCUUCAUGCUGCAGAUGGGCACCAAAUCCAAGUACUGCAGCUGAGAGGAGUGAUGUGAAAGAAAGAGUAGCAGUAAAACCAUGGAAAGUGAUACAGCCUUCUUUGUCUUUUUGCUGGUCCCUUCCGAUUCUGCGAUUUAUGUCUCUGCUGGGAAACCUGUAAAUGAAUGAAGCCAUUUGUGGGGAUAAGCAAAUCUGUGACAUUCAACAGCUGGACACAGACGAAUGGAAGAGUAAUAAAGACUUCUUUGUGAAUUGAA